CCUGUUCUGCCCUCCCUUCCAG
rnacentral:miRNA from 1 species